rnacentral:rRNA from 1 species
CCGGCACGGGUGAGUAACGCGUAUGCAACUUACCUAUCAGAGGGGGAUAACCCGGCGAAAGUCGGACUAAUACCGCAUGAAGCAGGGGCCCCGCAUGGGGAUAUUUGCUAAAGAUUCAUCGCUGAUAGAUAGGCAUGCGUUCCAUUAGGCAGUUGGCAGGGUAACGGCCCACCAAACCGACGAUGGAUAGGGGUUCUGAGAGGAAGGUCCCCCACAUUGGUACUGAGACACGGACCAA